rnacentral:rRNA from 1 species
UCCUACGGGGCGCAGCAGUCGGGAAUAUUGCGCAAUGGAGGAAACUCUGACGCAGUGACGCCGCGUAUAGGACGAAGGUCUUCGGGUUGUAAACUAUUGUCGUUAGGGAAGAGAAAGGACAGUACCUAAGGAGGAAGCUCCGGCUAACUACGUGCCAGCAGCCGCGGUAAUACGUAGGGGGCAAGCGUUAUCCGGAUUUACUGGGUGUAAAGGGAGCGUAGACGGUGAGACAAGUCUGAAGUGAAAGCCCGGGGCUCAACCCCGGGACUGCUUUGGAAACUGCCUGACUGGAGGGCUGGAGAGGC